AUUGAACGCUGGAGGCAGGCCUAACACAUGCAAGUCGAACGAGUGGCGGACGGGUGAGUAAUGUCUGGGAAACUGCCCGAUGGAGGGGGGUAACUACUGGAAACGGUAGCUAAUACCGCAUACCAUCGGAUGUGCCCAGAUGGGCUUAGCUAGGAGGUGGGGUAACGGCUCACCUAGGCGACGAUCCCUAGCUGGUCUGAGAGGAUGACCAGCCACACUGGAACUGGGACACGGUCCAGACUCCUACGGGAGGCAGCAGUGGGGAAUAUUGCACAAUGGGCGCAAGCCUGAUGCAGCCAGGCCGCGUGUAUGAAGAAGGCCUUCGGGUUGUAAAGUACUUUCAGCGAGGAGGCGUUACUCGCAGAAGAAGCACCGGCUAACUCCGUGCCAGCAGCCGCGGUAAUAC
rnacentral:rRNA from 1 species